rnacentral:rRNA from 1 species
AGUGAACGCUGGCGGUAGGCCUAACACAUGCAAGUCGAACGGCAGCACAGUAAGAGCUUGCUCUUACGGGUGGCGAGUGGCGGACGGGUGAGGAAUACAUCGGAAUCUACUUUUUCGUGGGGGAUAACGUAGGGAAACUUACGCUAAUACCGCAUACGACCUACGGGUGAAAGUGGGGGAUCUUCGGACCUUGCGCGAUUGAAUGAGCCGAUGUCGGAUUAGCUAGUUGGCGGGGUAAAGGCCCACCAAGGCGACGAUCCGUAGCUGGUCUGAGAGGAUGAUCAGCCACACUGGAACUGAGACACGGUCCAGACUCCUACGGGAGGCAGCAGUGGGGGAUAUUGGACAAUGGGCGCAAGCCUGAUCCAGCCAUACCGCGUGGGUGAAGAAGGCCUUCGGGUUGUAAAGCCCUUUUGUUGGGAAAGAAAAGCAGCAGGUUAAUACCCCGCUGUUCUGACGGUACCCAAAGAAUAAGCACCGGCUAACUUCGUG